rnacentral:rRNA from 1 species
AGUAACGCGUGAGCAACCUGUCCUGCAGAGGGGGACGAACAACGGGAAACCGUUGCUAAUACCGCAUAAGACCACGGUCUCGCAUGGGGCUGAGGUAAAAGGAGAAAUCCGCUGCAGGAGGGGCUCGCGUCCCAUUAGAUAGUUGGUGAGGUAACGGCUCACCAAGUCAGCGAUGGGUAGCCGGACUGAGAGGUUGAACGGCCACACUGGGACUGAGACACGGCCCAGACUCCUACGGGAGGCAGCAGUGGGGAAUAUUGGGCAAUGGGCGCAAGCCCUGACCCAGCAACGCCGCGUGAAGGAAGAAGGUCUUCGGAUUGUAAACUUCUGUCAUUGGGGACGAAGGAAGUGACGGUACCCAAUGAGGAAGCCCCGGCUAACUACGUGCCAGCCGCCGC